GCCGCCCCGCUGCCGCCCCACCACCCCGCCGCCGCCCACCACCCCACCACCCCGCCGCCCGCAGAGGCCCCCCCUUUCCCUAGCGUGCGUGCGGUCCCCCGCGGCGACCUCUCCACUCGCCGUCGCCGUCCGUCGGGGAGGGAGCGUGCGUGCGGUCCCCCGCGGCGACCUCUCCACUCGCCGUCGACGCCCUCGGCCACUCGCCGUCCCGACCUCUCCACUCGCCUCCUCUGGCCAGCCAACCAUAGUGGCAUCGUUCCUCUGACACCGGUCGGCGCUUCGACUUCGACUCCUACAACCGGCACCUCGACUUGUCAACAUCCUCCGUCGCCAAAUCUUAACCACUACGAGUUCAUCCGGCCAUCGUCGUGAACCUCCAAGCAGAUAUGCCACGCCCUUCAUGUCAUCAGGCCAACGACCUCACCCUGGGAGUCCACUUCUUCACGGUCACGACAUCUGCCUUGAAAAAUUAUCUGGAGCAGUGAGUUCCAGAGACGAAUGGGGAACUGGACUUUGAGCUGGAGCGGUCAUGUGUUCUUGCACCUGGGGAUUAAAAGCCAAUAUACAAUUUGUUCAUUUUCUUUUAGAGGUAUGUAACAUUGAUUCGUACGAUUAGUUGGUACUUAAGAACAUGGAUACCCACACUUUCCAGGAUGGCUCAAGCUGUUCUGAUAGUUGAUAUAGAUUUAAAUGACUAGGAGAACCUAAGUGGCUCAUUCAUACGCCACCAUUUCCAAUAUAUAUGGGGCAGUUCUUAAAUGUGCAAAUGUUCAAGAAAUGAGUGCUCUCAUUUGUCAUGCCAUGGAAGUAUGGUUUGAAGUUUCCUUACUGCAAAGAUUUUUCUUCAACAUCUAUGAGCUGGCUAGCAAAAUUAUUGUAACUACAAUUCACAUCAGAUAUAAGGCGACAAAUAGGGCAUCAUCUAGGUCCAUACAUCUUAAUAUCAUUUUCACUGACGGUUGCUUUGCUAUCAUAGUCAUUGUUUAUGACAGAAUGUAUAAACCACAUGGAGCUUGUGACAUCGGAUGAAGCUAGCGCAUGGCGGCAUACAACAGGAGCUAUUAGAGCUGGUUGUUACACGGGCAUGAUGUAGUGCCCAGGAUGCUCUUCGGAUGGCUCCCAGGAUGGGAUUGAACCCAGUUGAGGUCCUUGGGAAAUCAGGCCCUCCUGUUUCCAAGAUCAUAGGCUUUCACAAAGACAAGUAUACCAAGGAUGCCAUGGAGAAAGAUCGCCUAAAAGAACAAGGUCAUAAUGUUGUACCGAGGGCAUAAAGUUGUAUCCAGGAUGGGCUUGCACCUGGUUGAGGUCCAUCCGAAAUAGGACCAUCCUGCUUGCAAGAUCAUGGACUUCCACAAAGACAAGUAUAACAAGGAUGUCAAGUAGAAAGAGCACGUAAAAACCAAGGUAUGUGUGUUGUGCCAUCACUACUGACGCUGAGUUGAGAUGCUUAGAGCACAGCAAAUAUAUUCCAUGUGCUGGCUAUUUUAUUUGUAAAGAAUUUUGUUUUUCUCAAGGGAAGGGAGGAGUAAAUGAGAUGGUGGGAUUGACUCUAACCUGUCAAUCUGCUGGUUUUGAUGGCUGUAGUAUGUGUUGUUCAGUUGCAACAUAAGACAUGGUUGUGCAUGUUUUGAUCCUUGUUGUGGAAUCGAAACAACUCCUUGUAUACUUUAUUUGAUUAUUACUGCCAGUAUUCUGCCUGUGAGCCAUGGUGUUGAUUUCAAGUGGAAGAACUGCUGUCCGUUGUUUUCAGGGUCCAAGAAGUAUGUUUUCUUGUAUUUAGUUUUUGUUUUGACCUUGUGAAACUUGCUACCUAUGGAUGAAACUGUGUAAUAUUGAUGAAACUAUGUAUAUGUACGGAUGAAACUUGCUACUAUUGGUAACAUGGUUGGAUACA